AACGGGGGCAUAAUAAGUAUUCCAUGACCUCCGUAUCACCAUCUCCACACCUAUUCUACAUCUCCUUUCUGUACUUCACUGCGUAACCCUUUCUCCGUUCUUCCUGCAUCUCAUUUUCCACUGUCUCGUUUACUCCCCAUUGUUAGUUGUUCGUUGCUCGACUCAGUCGGAUAUUUAAACAGAAAAUGCAGUGUCCAAAAACUGCAUUUCUUCAUCUAUGAAUUUUAUUUGAAGCUAGCCAUAUUUUGUAGAAAGCAAAUCCGGCCGACGAAAUGGUUGGUUCAGAUCUAGUUCUUACUAGCUUUACAAACACAUGACACAUUUAAAAUAGUUUUAUGAAUAAAAUACUUAAUUUAAACCGGUGGUUUACCAGAGUCCGUGUUUUUGGUCCAUUCCUGCUAAAUAAAUUUUUAGUGCUUCUUCUUCAGUUCUUCUUAUAUGUAGUUUACUUAUAAGUUCAUGCGUUUAUGUUUUCAUCUUAGCCAAACAUGUAUCAUACCAAAAUCUAACUUGUUCAUUUGACAGGACAUAAAAUUGCCCAGGAAUUCUUUAUGGGUGCAGGAACUCUUGGUGUUGGUAUGAGAGGUAUAGGAAAUAUAAGGUAUGUCUGGUAUGUAUAACAUGUUUUUUACAUAUCUAUUUAAAAAAUUCAUUGAUAAAUAGUAUUUUGGUUUGUAAAUAAGAAAUUAACAUAAGUAAUCUGGAGCUUAUAGUCAUAAAAAUUGUCUAUUUUGUCAAAUAAUCUCUUCACAGCAUGUUUGCUAAGCUUAAGAUUUUUUUACUUUUUAGUCCAUCUAUUUUCGAGUGCUAAUUGGAUUAUGUGACUGUCAAAUUGUAUGGCAUAGUAAUUUUUAUUUCUAUUUUUUUUUUUUUUUUUUUACAAAGAGUCCAAUUUCAUGCUUUUCAGUUGAAAAGUGUCUAAUUUUGACAUCUCUUGCAAAAAUGGUAAAAUUUGAUACCAAUUUGUGUACUAUACCCUAAAUGAAAAAAUAAAGCAAUUUUUUUUUUUUUUUUUUUGGGAAAUUGCUAAAAUUAUCUUCAAUGAUCAUUUGCAAAAAUGUUCUAGAUUUGUCUUAUGUCUAUUUUGACAAAAUUUAGACCAAAAUGUCUUUUUUGGGUUGAUGGUAUAGUUCUAAGUGUCGAUGUAGAAUUGAAAUGGAGACAAUAGUAUAUUGUUUUGGCACCUACAUGUUCAGGUCUUAUGUUGUGUACACAUAUAUGAACUGCAGUUCCUAACAGUUGAAAUAUUAAUUGUUGAGAAUAACAUGUAUUUAAUGUCAAGAACAACACUUCAAAUGGAGAAAUGUAUGAAACGUAUAGAACUCUAGAAAAUAGAAUAAAAUCUCGUUCUAGGUACAUGAACUGUCAAGUGUCGAGAUAAAUAGGGUCCAAAUGUCAAUAAUAACUUUCCAAGACGAGAACAUCGUAAAAUGUAAAGAACAGAGUCGAACUAAUUAACAGAUUGGUAAGAUGACAAUUAGAUUUAAAAAAAUAUUUACAAUAAACUGAUUAGACGUAGAAGUUCCUCAAUGUGAUUUUGAUGGAAGGUGUGUUAUAAAUCCAUGUUGAUAAUAAAUACAACUUCAUAUUCACAUGACAAGCACAUGGUCUAAAACCUAUAUUGUCAAAUAAAUGUCAAUCAAAUACAAUUACACAGAGUAGGAGUUGGUGUCAAUCAACUACAAUUUCAUUUUCCUUUUCUUUUUGUUUUGUACCUUCUUAUAUUUUUGGGAUCUUUCCAAUUUUUGAAGGUAGUUUUCACUCUACAUUGUAUGCAACUUUCUUGUCCGGUAGAUAUCUCAUAAUCCUUAGUGAUGAAUAGGGACAAAUUAUUCAAGACUAGUUUCAAUUUUUAAGCCAAAGAUAAGAAUAAAAAAAUAGUUAAAAUGAUGAUGUUCUUGGUUUUGGAUGGAUUUAAUCACCCAUGAACUUAUAGUAAAUCGGCUUUCAGCAUGGUCUAACUGGGUGAUUACUGUAAUAAUAAAUUUACUAUGACCUUAAAAAAUUCCAAGGUAACUAAUUUACAUGACAAAUUUUAAAGCAAUUCAUAAGUGUAAUCAAGAAUGAAUUUGUGCUCAACAUGAGAGAGAGUUUAAAACCUAUGUUGUCAAACAAAUAUCAAUCAAUAUUUACAAAUUGUACAAAACGGAAGAAUAUGAGGUUCAACUGGAUGUAAAAUAAUAGGAAAUACAUUGAGAUUGUAUAUUGUCAUUUUCAUAUUCCUUUUCCACACAAACACUUUCAUCAACAGAAAAGUCCUUCUGUAAUUCACACAUCAAUCAAUAGAACUUGAAAACAUAAAAAUAAUAUAAGAUCGAUGAAAGAUAACAUAUUUGCAAAAAUUGGAUUCACAAACAAUUUUAAGAAAUGAAAUAAAAAAAAGUGCAAAACAACAUGACCGAAUAAAUAUAUGUACGUAAAAAAACAAAAGAAUUAAUCAACCAAACUGUAUGGUACCUAGUUCUUCUUUCUGGUAGCUAUGUAUAAUUCGUAGAUACUUCAAGAAUACCAAAUAUUUAUGUAAAAAUUAUGUAAAAAGAGGAAAAAAACAUUAAAUCAACAAGAAAUCAUACCUAAAACUCUUUUACGCAAUUUGUCCUCUUGUACCUGUGGCUAAAUUAUGAGUUUAGAAUUGUAUGCUUGUGUGGAUAAUUGUAAUCUUCUUGAACGAGCACGUCUACUCUUAAACCAAUUAUAAAAUAUUCAUAUCACAAAUUUGGCUAUGCAAUGAUGAUUUAGAUAUUAUCUUUGUGAUCUUUGACUUGCUUGGGGUCGUAUUCUCCUGAUCAAAUAUAGAUUCAAGAAUUUGGAGUUAAGAAGAUGUAGGUGUCCAAUAGUGCCUGCCCAUUGUAUUGUUGAAACAAAGCACAAUUAAGAGCAUGCACGUUGAAAACCAUAUCCUCAGGCAAAGAAAAAAAAAUACUGAAACUUCGAAUUUUUUGAAAACUACUAGUCUCUGCCUCGUGCAAUGCACAAGUUUUGUAUAGAUUUUGUUAUUAUUAGCGUGGAAUAUGUCGAGUAUUUAAAAAAAAGAAGUGUUACAAGUUGUUGAAAAUGAGAAAUUGAAGAGAAAGUAAUUUCAUUGAAAGCUAUAAAAUAACCAUAAGAUAGAUAAAAAAAUAUAUGCAAUAUUAUGCAAAAUGAACUUGGCUUGUUUUUAAAAGAUAAUACUGCUGAAUUUUGUCAUUUCAUUUUUUACUCUAUUUUUUCUUUCAUUUUGUCCAACAUAAAUGGAUUUGAGCCCGCACUUUCUAACUCUGACUGGUGAGUAGCUAAUUUGAAAAGAGUUUUUUUGGCUGGAGGGGAGCAAUUGUCAUCUGCUUAGGGUUGGCAAUGGUUCGGUUAUGGGUCGGUUCGGCCAAAAUCAUAACCGCACCACCAAUUUUUUGAUCAUACUAUAACCGCACCAUAAUCACGUAAAUCGGUUCGGUUCAUAUCUCGGUUCGGCACAGUUCGGUUCGGUUAAUAACCAUGAAAAUAAAUUAUUUUUUAUAGGUUCAUCCGUCAAAUUGAUAUAAAACAAUUUAUAAAAAAAGUCAAUGAAAACAAAAAUACAAUAUUCCAAACGAAAAUGCAAAUCUUAUCAAACAAUAUUCCAAACGAAAAUACAAACAUUAUUCCAAUUUUCAAUUUCAAAAUACAAAUUUAACAAACAAUAUUAUAAAUAAAACAAUACUAAACUUUUCCUUUAUUCU
rnacentral:lncRNA from 1 species